rnacentral:tRNA from 2 species
GGGGAUGUAGCUCAGCGGGAGAGCACCUGCUUUGCAAGCAGGGGGUCGGCGGUUCAAAUCCGCUCAUCUCCACCA